GUUUGGGGGGGGCCUGGGGGACCACACAACUCCUGUUAUUUGGGGUUUUUCCAGCUUUCUGGUCCCGAUUCCUCCCUCCUGUCUUGCCUGUUCCGCCCUGCACCAGCCMCUCCUGCUGCUAUUUCCAAGUUAGGGAAAGUGCCUGAAAUCAGGRCUUUCCUCCCCACGGGGCCAGGGUUUAAGUCAGGCAUUUGCAGGGAAGCGCAGGGGAGCAGGGCUUGGGGGGGGGAACUUUGCGCGUCCAGCAGACGCGCAUCCCCCCAUCGCUCUGCGCUCCGUGGCCCUGGCUGCCGCCGCUCCGAACAAGACGUUCGAGAUAGUCUCUGGCGCGUUUUGGGUUUUUUUCCCCCUCCGGGAGGGGAAAGUGUUUCGAUUCGGGGGGGCAAAACUCGACGAUGCGGGGAGCGAGCGCCGCCGCGGUACCAGGCGCCGGAGCAGCUCCGGAGGGGGCUCAGCUUUAUUGGCGGAGUUGCUUGUUCGGACCAGUCGCUCCACGUUUCUCCGGCUACAUCACCAYCGGGGCGGGGUCCUCGGUGCCCCCCAGGCCUUCGGGCUCCAACCGCGCGGAUCCGACCUCACCUCGCUGCGUCCGAGCCGGGAGCCGGGGCCGGAGGCGCCCCGGGCGCAGGGAGGGUGCCGGUCCUUGCCGUCGGGACACGCGGGACCAGCGCCUGCUCUCACUGCUCCUCCUUCUCCUCCUCCUCCUCCUCGGGGAGCUUCUUGCGGGUGAAGAAGCCCAGCUGGGGCGAGAGGGAGAGGAUGGAGGCGAGGAAGGGCCGCGGGCACCCACCGCCCAGCCUGGCCCAGCCCCGCUCUCACCUUCCACAGGCAGAAGAUGAUCAGCGCCAGCAGCAGCAGCCCCCCGAYGAUGCUGCCCACCAGGAUCCAGAGCGAGACGGAUGACGCUGAUGGCCGGCGGCUCCACCGUCAGCGACGCGUUGACCUGGACGAUCUGGCGGGAGCUGGCGGCGGGAGCCGGGGGUCAGAGCCCCGUCCGAGGGCAGGGAAGCCUCGCGGCCGAGCCCGGUGGUGCCGCCAUCCCCGCCAGGCGCCCGGACUCACCGCAGGACCACGGCCACCCCCUGCGCCCCCACGGCCAGGUCCACCAGYCCGUCGCCGUCCAGGUCCAUCUGCCCGUCCAGGCUGCGCCCGAAAUAGCUGAGAUCCUGGCUCAGCGCCGCUGCCUCGAUGCGCUGGGGAGGCGAGAAUGGGGGCCAUUGUGGCUUCUCUGGUGUCUCGU
rnacentral:lncRNA from 1 species